CCCGUUCAUUUGGGCCGAGGGCCGAACCGGACUCGCUCCGUCUUCCCUCCUCCUGUCCAGUGUCCAGGUCUCAUUUGGGCCCAAAGGCAGAACCGGACUCGCCACCUCCUGCGCCUCCCCUCUUCCUGUCCAGGCCUCCAGGGUUUAGGCUCGCCGCCGUCCCGUCCCGUCCCGUCCCGCCUCGCCCACCGCGCGCCGCGAUGCCUCCUUCCAAGGGCAAGAAGAAGAACCCAUCGACGUCGCCGCGGCCGUCCCCACGCACGCCUUCAUCUUGUCCCUCCGCUGGCUCCGGAACUGGCGAUGGCGAGAGAAGCGUCGACCUCCCAUCCAUCGCCGCCGCCGCCGCGGAGCAGUUCCCGGCGCUCGUGCCACGCGGCGGUAGUGGCUACUUUGCUGGCAUCGUUGCCGAAGUGGCCCCUAGGGAUGGGAGCCGCGGCGGCCGCUUGGGGAGGCUCUGGCUCUCCGAGGCCGCUAUGGUCGGCGCCGGGAUGCGGCCUGGGUGCUUUGUCUCCGUCUCACUAAUUUCGUCAAGCAGUGAUCAGUUAGAUGGUUUUCCAUUAAUUAAUUUAUUUGAGGAGUGCAACAGAUUCUUUGAUCUUGAUCUGGACAAUGAUCUCCUUUAUGGUGAAGCUGGGAAAAACUUUGUGGUUGCUACAGUUCUCCCCUCGCGUGAGGUUCCAAAGAAUGGUAUCAAGCUCUCUUGGGAUCUUGCUUGUGUUUUGGGACACCCUUUUGUAGGUCGAUCAUUGUUUAUUUGCCCCUUAUGUACACUUCAGGCCCCAAAGCGUAGUGAUGAUGUUCAUAUUUUACGGGUAAUGAAAUGCAAGAAUCUUUAUCUUAGCCUAGUUCCACCUAAUGUUGGAUCUUCCAAAGGCAUUGAAUCAGAGUCUGACUACCAUCCUGAAAGAAGCGCAAUGGUUAUGGAGACACCUAAGAGGGGUCCUUCAACUCCACUGCGUAAGAAGGAAUCGCAUCACUUUGCUUCCAACAAUGGCUCUUCAAUGUGCUUGGAUCCAACCACUGCAAGAUCAGCACUAGCAGAUGAGAAAAUCAAUGAGUUGUUGCAUACUUCAGCAUUGUGGUGGCUCAAUGGUAGACACUUGCUUAAAGGAAACUUUGUUCCUCUCUCAAUAUGCGGAAAACUGUCUCUAUUUGUGGUCAUGGGAGCAGAACCAGAUAGUUCUUCUCAAGAUGUUUUGUAUGAGAAUGGGAAUACACUGUCUAAUGCAGAGGAUUCAACUAAAUCCCAGGAAAACCCAGUUUUAUUCCUUGUUGACAGAACCACAAAAGUUCAUUUAUCUGAUUCUGUCUGCACAAAGCAGCUUGACUCAGAUAAACCGGGUUUACCAUCAGAACCUCACGAGUAUGAUGAUAAAAGAAAUGCAGAUUUCAAUCAUUCUCCAACACUUGGUGGGUUAUCUAAAGAGUCAGCAACCAUAAAAGGAAUAAUUUCAUUUUCACUAGCUGAUCAAAUUGGUCUGCCAAGAUACAAAGGUAUUCUUCUUUAUGGUCCACCUGGAACAGGGAAGACCUCUCUUGCUUCUUCCUGUGCCUAUGAUGCAGGGGUCAACCUUUUUACAAUCAAUGGACCAGAGAUCAUUAGUCAUUAUUACGGAGAAAGCGAGCAAUCUUUGUACGAUGUUUUCACUUCAGCCAAGCAAGCAGCACCUGCUGUGAUAUUUAUCGAUGAAUUGGAUGCGAUUGCUCCAUCAAGGAAGGAUGGGAGUGAGGCGUUAUCUAUUAGAAUGGUAGCCACUCUGUUAAAACUGAUGGAUGAGAUUGGCCCUAGUGACCGUGUUCUCUUGAUUGCUGCUACGAAUCGACCUGAUAGCAUUGAUCCUGCAUUGCGACGUCCUGGAAGAUUGGAUAAAGAAAUUGAAAUAGGAGUGCCAUCCCCAGGACAGAGGAUGGACAUACUUCGCCACCUUCUAAUUGGAGUUCAUCACUCUCUGACCAAUGAAGAAGUUGAGUCUGUUGCUCUAGCAACCCAUGGAUUUGUGGGUGCUGAUCUAGCAGCAGUGUGCAAUGAGGCUGCAUUGAGUGCUCUCCGGCGUUACAUCAGCCUAAAAGAAAAUUCAAUUCAACAACUUGGUCAUCCUGGCUGUAGUUUUUAUAAGUGUAAUAGUCAAGAUACUGAAGAUUCAAGCUCAUUAUCGUCAUCUUUCUCAAAGUUGACCAUGUCAUCAUAUGUUGCUUGCAUGAACGGUGGUAACAUAAAAAGUAGCGAGUCUUAUGAUGAUACAGAUGAAAUACCACUAUAUGUAACCAAUAAGGAUUUUGACAAGGCUAAAACAAAAGUUAGACCGAGUGCGAUGCGCGAGGUUAUUCUUGAGCUUCCGAAGGUACGUUGGGAAGAUGUUGGUGGUCAGUGCAGUGUCAAGGAGCAACUGAUUGAAGCUAUCCAAUUACCACAAAAAUGCCCAGAAGCAUUUGAACGUUUAGGGAUCCGACCCCCUAGAGGAUUGCUAAUGAUAGGACCACCAGGUUGCAGCAAGACUUUGAUGGCUCGUGCUGCAGCUUCUGAAGCAAAAUUGAAUUUCCUGGCUGUUAAGGGUCCUGAACUUUUCAGCAAGUGGGUCGGUGACUCAGAAAAGGCAGUGAGAUCGCUAUUUGCAAAGGCGCGGGCUAAUGCACCAGCAAUAUUAUUUUUUGAUGAAAUAGAUGGGCUUGCAGUAACUCGUGGGCAAGAAAAUGAUGGCACGUCUGUUGCUGAUAGGGUCCUCAGUCAGUUGCUUGUGGAAAUGGAUGGUUUGGACCAGAGAGUUGGUGUUACUGUUAUUGCAGCUACAAAUCGCCCUGACAAAAUUGAUCCCGCACUUCUGAGGCCAGGUCGUUUCGAUAGGGUGCUGGAUGUGCAACCACCUGAUGAAGCUGACCGUGCAGAUAUUUUCCGGAUCCAUACACGCAGCAUGCCAUGCAGUGCCGACAUGAAUCUAAAUGAACUCGCUAGACUCACAGAAGGCUACACUGGCGCCGACAUAAAGCUCAUCUGCAGGGAAGCUGCUGUUGCCGCACUUGAUGAGAGGUUUGACAUUCAAGAAGUAGCAAUGAGACAUUUCAAUUCUGCGAUCGACAGAACAAAACCUUCAGAUGUCAAGUUCUUCCAAGAACUUGCAAAGCAAUUCCGCAGAUCGUUGACUUCACUGAGGAAGCAAUAAUUCUGAGAAAGCGUUGAGGAAUGGGUCAAGCAUCACCCUCUCACUCCCUACAUUUUUGCUUGGUCCAGAGAAUGGAGUUGGUUAAUCCAUACAAGUACACGGCUAGCUUAGCCAUCUGGAAUCAGUUCAUCCAAAGAAAUAAAACAUGGGGUGACCUCAUUCUGGAUAUUCAUGUGAUUUCUCAAAGCAGGCGCCACAUCAGUGAACCUGGCGUGACUGAAUCUGGGCUGGUAUCUAAGAAGCCUUGUCCUCGUUGCUCUGCAUCUUCGAAAUUUCUGCGUUGUUCCUCUGACUUCAAUUACUAUGCCACUGUAGAUAGUAUUGCUUUAAAAGUUGACUAGAAUUUUCUGUUCCAGAAACCUUUUUGCUGCUAUUUAUUGGGGGAGCAAUUUUCUCUUUUCUGACUCUUCUCAACAUUACACUCGAGAGAAACUUGCUAGACAUGUUUAUAGAUCGAGACAGUUUCAGUGGGCCUGUUUUAACCUUGUCUUAUCUCUUCUUUGGAAGGAUUUGAGCAUUGUUGCCAACAUUGUUCCCUGUCAUCUUGCUGUCGGUAUGUUUCCCUGAAGGAAGUGAUGGAGAUGGCACAGUUUAUGCUGAGGGCGAUCUGAUCUCCUUAACAUUUUGCACAACUGAUGUAACUGUAGGCCUGAUUUUUGUCUCUGGGUUACUGAACUUGGUGGUAGCAGUAACAUCUGCAUGUUUUCUUGGUGUCUUUGGUCCACUGGAGCUGUCAACUGCUGUAUGAGUAGAUGUCAGAUGCGAUGUUCUUCCAGUUUUCUGACUUGAGCCUGUCUCUCGUCAUACUCAAUGUGGCCCUCUGAUUUAGUCCCAAGCAAGGGUUGCUCGUGCUUCUUAGAGGCUUUUACAGUCAGAGUCCUGAUAUCUGAACUUGCACACUCAUUUUCUGGUCGAUCAGGCACAGGAUCCACAGGUGACCGUUCCUCAACUUCGCAUGGACUGUCAGCAGGCGCAGUGGUAUCCUCUUCAAUGUGUUCGUCAGAUUCAUCAAUGUCCUGGAUAGCUAAUGGCAGCAUUCUGCAUCAAUUGGCGGAGUUCCAGCCACAAGUUCAGAUGCUUCAGCUGACGAAUCUUGCACGUGGGGAUUGCUUUCAGAAUGAUCAGGUGCUUUUUUCAAGUGAUGCUUUCAGUGAUGAAUUCAGGCUUAGAGCAGUACUGCUACCACUUUUUACACUGUACUAUUUACAGAGUGAAGUUUGAAUAUGAAGAUAAUUAGAUAAAGAUAGAUAAGCUGCUGGAGAUAGUUUUAUUAUUGUUUUGAAUCUGGUCGAGUUCCUGGUUCCUAGUGCUUGCACGGCGCAAUUGCUUGCUACUAACAGGCCAAUAUUUCUUGGGUUCAGAGGAAUGCUUGAUCCCAAACUUGCAGCUGUCAUGGCAAGAGCUGGUGGAUGCUCGUAGGAAAUGCGGGACCGGCUUCUACUUCCUCUUUAACAUCAGGUGUCAUGCUGCUGCCAUCCAUAACUACUAGAGCAGCAUUUAUCAGGUCUUCACAUUUGUUAUGUGAGGGACUAAAAUUUAGUUAGAGGAACCAAACAUGGUCUUAGUCUUCAACUCUUCAUGGUUUGAGCAUGGGAGAAGGGGGGAGUGGACUAUAAAUUGGGCGUAGAGGUUGUGGAUUUGUGAACCUAGAAUGAAAUAGAUUCUGCUGUUAUUCUCAAGAAAUUGAGGCAUGAAGUCUAAAAAGACGAAUUUAAAGGAAAAAUAAAUAAAUGUUGCAGCAGUUUAAACAGCCAACUUUAA